rnacentral:rRNA from 1 species
AACGAACGCUGGCGGCAUGCCUAACACAUGCAAGUCGAACGAGACCUUCGGGUCUAGUGGCGCACGGGUGCGUAACGCGUGGGAACCUGCCCUUAGGUUCGGAAUAACUCCCCGAAAGGGGUGCUAAUACCGGAUAAUGUCUUCGGACCAAAGAUUUAUCGCCUUUGGAUGAGCCCGCGUUGGAUUAGCUAGUUGGUAGGGUAAAAGCCUACCAAGGCGACGAUCCAUAGCUGGUCUGAGAGGAUGAUCAGCCACACUGGGACUGAGACACGGCCCAGACUCCUACGGGAGGCAGCAGUGGGGAAUAUUGGACAAUGGGCGAAAGCCUGAUCCAGCAAUGCCGCGUGAGUGAUGAAGGCCUUAGGGUUGUAAAGCUCUUUUACCCGGGAUGAUAAUGACAGUACCGGAGAAUAAGCUCCGGCUAACUCCGCG